rnacentral:rRNA from 1 species
UACGGGGGGGGCAAGCGUUGUUCGGAAUUACUGGGCGUAAAGGGCGCGUAGGCGGUCAGCACAAGUCAGUUGUGAAAUCUCCGAGCUUAACUCGGAAAGGUCAACUGAUACUGUGCGGCUAGAGUACGGUAGAGGAGGGUGGAAUUCCCAGUGUAGCGGUGAAAUGCGUAGAUAUUGGGAGGAACACCGGUGGCGAAGGUGGCCCUCUGGACCGAAACUGACACUGAAGCGCGAAAGCUAGGGGAGCAAACGGG